AAAGGAAUAGACGGGGGCCCGCACAAGCAGUGGAGUAUGUGGUUUAAUUCGAAGCAACGCGAAGAACCUUACCAGGGCUUGACAUCCCUCUGACAGGCUUAGAGAUAAGCUUUCUCUUCGGAGCAGAGGAGACAGGUGGUGCAUGGUUGUCGUCAGCUCGUGUCGUGAGAUGUUGGGUUAAGUCCCGCAACGAGCGCAACCCCUGUUGUUAGUUGCCAUCAUUAAGUUGGGCACUCUAACGAGACUGCCGGUGAUAAAUCGGAGGAAGGUGGGGACGACGUCAAAUCAUCAUGCCCCUUAUGUCCUGGGCUACACACGUACUACAAUGGCGAUUACAGUGGGAGGCAAGACCGCGAGGUGGAGCAAAUCCCCAAAAAUCGUCCCAGUUCAGAUUGCAGGCUGCAACUCGCCUGCAUGAAGUCGGAAUUGCUAGUAAUGGCAGGUCAGCAUACUGCCGUGAAUACGUUCCCGGGCCUUGUACACACCGCCCGU
rnacentral:rRNA from 1 species